rnacentral:rRNA from 1 species
GCCGAGCGGUAGAGAUCUUUCGGGAUCUUGAGAGCGGCGUACGGGUGCGGAACACGUGUGCAACCUGCCUUUAUCUGGGGGAUAGCCUUUCGAAAGGAAGAUUAAUACCCCAUAAUAUACUGGAUGGCAUCAUUCGGUAUUGAAAACUCCGGUGGAUAGAGAUGGGCACGCGCAAGAUUAGAUAGUUGGUGAGGUAACGGCUCACCAAGUCUGCGAUCUUUAGGGGGCCUGAGAGGGUGAUCCCCCACACUGGUACUGAGACACGGACCAGACUCCUACGGGAGGCAGCAGUGAGGAAUAUUGGACAAUGGGUGAGAGCCUGAUCCAGCCAUCCCGCGUGAAGGACGACGGCCCUAUGGGUUGUAAACUUCUUUUGUAUAGGGAUAAACCUUUCCACGUGUGGGAAGCUGAAGGUACUAUACGAAUAAGCACCGGCUAACUCCGUGCCAGCAGCCGCGGUAAUACGGAGGGUGCAAGCGUUAUCCGGAUUUAUUGGGUUUAAAGGGUCCGUAGGCGGAUCUGUAAGUCAGUGGUGAAAUCUCACAGCUUAACUGUGAAACUGCCAUUGAUACUGCAGGUCUUGAGUGUUAUUGAAGUAGCUGGAAUAAGUAGUGUAGCGGUGAAAUGCAUAGAUAUUACUUAGAACACCAAUUGCGAAGGCAGGUUACUAAGCAACAACUGACGCUGAUGGACGAAAGCGUGGGGAGCGAACAGGAUUAGAUACCCUGGUAGUCCACGCCGUAAACGAUGCUAACUCGUUUUUGGGCUUUCGGGUUCAGAGACUAAGCGAAAGUGAUAAGUUAGCCACCUGGGGAGUACGAACGCAAGUUUGAAACUCAAAGGAAUUGACGGGGGCCCGCACAAGCGGUGGAUUAUGUGGUUUAAUUCGAUGAUACGCGAGGAACCUUACCAAGGCUUAAAUGGGAAAUGACAGGUUUAGAAAUAGACUUUUCUUCGGACAUUUUUCAAGGUGCUGCAUGGUUGUCGUCAGCUCGUGCCGUGAGGUGUUAGGUUAAGUCCUGCAACGAGCGCAACCCCUGUCACUAGUUGCCAUCAUUAAGUUGGGGACUCUAGUGAGACUGCCUACGCAAGUAGAGAGGAAGGUGGGGAUGACGUCAAAUCAUCACGGCCCUUACGCCUUGGGCCACACACGUAAUACAAUGGCCGGUACAGAGGGCAGCUACACAGCGAUGUGAUGCAAAUCUCGAAAGCCGGUCUCAGUUCGGAUUGGAGUCUGCAACUCGACUCUAUGAAGCUGGAAUCGCUAGUAAUCGCGCAUCAGCCAUGGCGCGGUGAAUACGUUCCCGGGCCUUGUACACACCGCCCGUCAAGCCAUGGAAGUCUGGGGUACCUGAAGUCGGUGACCGUAACAGGAG